GACGAACGCUGGCGGCGUGCUUAACACAUGCAAGUCGAGCGGUAAGGCCCUUUCGGGGGUACACGAGCGGCGAACGGGUGAGUAACACGUGGGUGACCUGCCCUCAGCUCUGGGAUAAGCCUGGGGAACCGGGUCUAAUACUGGAUAUGACUCCAUGACGCAUGUUGUGGGGUGGAAAGCCUUGUGCGGCUGAGGAUGGGCCCGCGGCCUAUCAGCUUGUUGGUGGGGUGANGGCCUACCAAGGCGACGACGGGUAGCCGGCCUGAGAGGGCGACCGGCCACACUGGGACUGAGACACGGCCCAGACUCCUACGGGAGGCAGCAGUGGGGAAUCUUGCGCAAUGGGCGAAAGCCUGACGCAGCGACGCCGCGUGA
rnacentral:rRNA from 1 species